UGAUUCGAAUUGAUAGUGAUGUUUCUUUUAGUUGAUUGUUUGAUGCUUGUAUUGAGUUGUUCUCCCUUGUUUUAGAUUUGCACGUACUCGUGUCAUUUCGAUUUAUGCUCAUAAGGUGUUCGACAAAAUGUUUCUUCCAACAGUAGGUUUAAAUUCGUGCACUUUAUUUCACUUAAUGUUUGCUUGUCUUAUCUUUUGCAAUUGCUAUAAGUUUUGUUCUUCAUUUGAAUGCAUUUAGGCUAGGGUAGAUUAGCUUUCUUUAAUGCUCUAAGUUACAUUCCAUGCUUAGUUUCAUUACAUGCUUACUUUAUUUGACUUAAUGUGUAGUGUCCAUCUCCAUUCAGUCCCUUAGUAGAUCAAGAAUGUCAUGCUAUAGAAUGUACCUCUUUUUUAUUGGAAAAGAUGAUUCUGUUUCCAUUUUGAUAUCAGGUUCAUAAGCAGGGUGUUGCACUUGGAAGAUCUGUUGACUUGACAAAGUUUGAUGGUUAUGACCAAUUGAUCGAGGAGUUAGAUUAGCUAUUUGAAUUCAAAGGAGAAUUGAUGGCUCCAAAUAAAAAUUGGAUGAUUGUAUUUACUGAUAAUGAGGAUGAUAUGAUGCUUGUUGGAGAUGACCCUUGGCAGGAAUUUUGUGCUAUGGUCCGUCUGAUUUUUAUAUACCCAAAAGAGGAGGUCCAGAAGAUGGAUUCAAGUACCUUGAACCCAAAAAAUGAAGAUUGUCCUGAUAUGAAAGAGAAUGUCAAGAAAACAAAAGGCAGUCAAUCUGCAUCAUCAUCUAAUUCAAAAAACUCAUAGGCUUAUCCUGCAAUGCUGACGACAUCUUUGCCAUGUGCAAUUCAAUCUUUGUAGGAUCUUGAAGCACAAACAAAGUGAUUGUUUGUGCUUUAUCUAAGUGAUUGUUUGAACAGUUUUAUAGCAUGCAUCUUGACAAUUAAUAUAAUUUUGAAGAUCACUAUCAAGAAAGAAUGUUCAAAGGAAAGUAAAGGCUAAGGAGAAGAUCACGUAAUUAACUACACGGGUCUAGUGAAAAUACUGAAGAAGUAUGACAAGAGAACAGGAGCACUUAUCAGGCAGCCCUUCAUCGAAAAGGUGCUGCAGUAGCCAUUCUUUACAACUGAUCUCCUAUAUAUACAAAAUCCUGAAGGAGUGUGUGGCUAUGCUCGACCACCUCUUCCCCAGCAACAACCUGUCAAUUUCAGCAGAAUGCGACGGACAAAAUGGAGUGCCAAAGCCGGCACAAUCAGGUGGGAGGGUUCCGGAGUUGGAGGAGAUUAAAUAUAUGCAGAGCUUAUACAUGAAGAGCACCGUAGCAGCGCUGCGGUCCUUGAAACAGAUUAGGAGGAAAAGUUCA